rnacentral:rRNA from 1 species
GGCGAGAAGAGACAGAAGAAUGAAGAAGGGGGCCCGGACCAGUAUCCGACUCAGGUAGUCAAGAUGAGAAUUCGAAGGUAGGCGAGCGAGCUUUCGUUAGGGGACUCGGAAAAAUGACCCCGUAACUUUGAGAGAAGGGGUGCUCUUAAGGAUUAACGCCCAGAAGAGCCGCAGUGAAUAGGCCCAAGCGACUGUUUAUCAAAAACACAGGUCUCUGCUAUACCGUAAGGGGAUGGAUAGGGGCUGACGGCUGCCCGGUGCUGGAAGGUUAAGAGGAGUGGUUAGCUUCUGCGAAGCUACGAAUCGAAGCCCCAGUAAACGGCGGCCGUAACUAUAACGGUCCUAAGGUAGCGAAAUUCCUUGUCGGGGAAGUUCCGACCCGCACGAGAGGCGUAGCGA